GGGUUGUGAGGUUAAGCGACUAAGCGUACACGGUGGAUGCCCUGGCAGUCAGAGGCGAUGAAGGGCGUGCUAAUCUGCGAUAAGCGCCGGUAAGGUGAUAUGAACCGUUAUAACCGGCGAUACCCGAAUGGGGAAACCCAGUGUGACUCGUCACACUAUCAUUAACUGAAUCCAUAGGUUAAUGAGGCGAACCGGGGGAACUGAAACAUCUAAGUACCCCGAGGAAAAGAAAUCAACCGAGAUUCCCCCAGUAGCGGCGAGCGAACGGGGAGGAGCCCAGAGCCUGAAUCAGCAUGUGUGUUAGUGGAAGCGUCUGGAAAGGCGCGCGAUACAGGGUGACAGCCCCGUACACAAAAGCGCAUGUGUUGUGAGCUCGAUGAGUAGGGCGGGACACGUGGUAUCCUGUCUGAAUAUGGGGGGACCAUCCUCCAAGGCUAAAUACUCCUGACUGACCGAUAGUGAACCAGUACCGUGAGGGAAAGGCGAAAAGAACCCCGGCGAGGGGAGUGAAAAAGAACCUGAAACCGUGUACGUACAAGCAGUGGGAGCACCCUUCGGGGUGUGACUGCGUACCUUUUGUAUAAUGGGUC
rnacentral:rRNA from 1 species